rnacentral:rRNA from 1 species
UGGGGAAUAUUGCACAAUGGGCGCAAGCCUGAUGCAGCGACGCCGCGUGCGGGAUGGAGGCCUUCGGGUUGUAAACCGCUUUUGUUCAAGGGCAAGGCACGGUUUCGGCCGUGUUGAGUGGAUUGUUCGAAUAAGCACCGGCUAACUACGUGCCAGCAGCCGCGGUAAUACGUAGGGUGCAAGCGUUAUCCGGAUUUAUUGGGCGUAAAGGGCUCGUAGGCGGUUCGUCGCGUCCGGUGUGAAAGUCCAUCGCUUAACGGUGGAUCCGCGCCGGGUACGGGCGGGCUUGAGUGCGGUAGGGGAGACUGGAAUUCCCGGUGUAACGGUGGAAUGUGUAGAUAUCGGGAAGAACACCAAUGGCGAAGGCAGGUCUCUGGGCCGUUACUGACGCUGAGGAGCGAAAGCGUGGGGAGCGAACAGGA